rnacentral:rRNA from 1 species
GACGAACGCUGGCGGCGUGCUUAACACAUGCAAGUCGAACGGAAAGGCCCUGCUUUUGUGGGGUGCUCGAGUGGCGAACGGGUGAGUAACACGUGAGUAACCUGCCCUUGACUUUGGGAUAACUUCAGGAAACUGGGGCUAAUACCGGAUAGGAGCUCCUGCUGCAUGGUGGGGGUUGGAAAGUUUCGGCGGUUGGGGAUGGACUCGCGGCUUAUCAGCUUGUUGGUGGGGUAGUGGCUUACCAAGGCUUUGACGGGUAGCCGGCCUGAGAGGGUGACCGGCCACAUUGGGACUGAGAUACGGCCCAGACUCCUACGGGAGGCAGCAGUGGGGAAUAUUGCACAAUGGGCGGAAGCCUGAUGCAGCAACGCCGCGUGCGGGAUGACGGCCUUCGGGUUGUAAACCGCUUUCGCCUGUGACGAAGCGUGAGUGACGGUAAUGGGUAAAGAAGCACCGGCUAACUACGUGCCAGCAGCCGCGGUGAUACGUAGGGUGCGAGCGUUGUCCGGAUUUAUUGGGCGUAAAGGGCUCGUAGGUGGUUGAUCGCGUCGGAAGUGUAAUCUUGGGGCUUAACCCUGAGCGUGCUUUCGAUACGGGUUGACUUGAGGAAGGUAGGGGAGAAUGGAAUUCCUGGUGGAGCGGUGGAAUGCGCAGAUAUCAGGAGGAACACCAGUGGCGAAGGCGGUUCUCUGGGCCUUUCCUGACGCUGAGGAGCGAAAGCGUGGGGAGCGAACAGGCUUAGAUACCCUGGUAGUCCACGCUGUAAACGGUGGGUACUAGGUGUGGGGUCCAUUCCACGGGUUCCGUGCCGUAGCUAACGCUUUAAGUACCCCGCCUGGGGAGUACGGCCGCAAGGCUAAAACUCAAAGGAAUUGACGGGGCCCCGCACAAGCGGCGGAGCAUGCGGAUUAAUUCGAUGCAACGCGUAGAACCUUACCUGGGUUUGACAUGGAUCGGGAGUGCUCAGAGAUGGGUGUGCCUCUUUUGGGGUCGGUUCACAGGUGGUGCAUGGCUGUCGUCAGCUCGUGUCGUGAGAUGUUGGGUUAAGUCCCGCAACGAGCGCAACCCUUGUUCACUGUUGCCAGCACGUUAUGGUGGGGACUCAGUGGGGACCGCCGGGGUCAACUCGGAGGAAGGUGGGGAUGACGUCAAGUCAUCAUGCCCCUUAUGUCCAGGGCUUCACGCAUGCUACAAUGGCUGGUACAGAGAGUGGCGAGCCUGUGAGGGUGAGCGAAUCUCGGAAAGCCGGUCUCAGUUCGGAUUGGGGUCUGCAACUCGACCUCAUGAAGUCGGAGUCGCUAGUAAUCGCAGAUCAGCAACGCUGCGGUGAAUACGUUCCCGGGGCUUGUACACACCGCCCGUCAAGUCAUGAAAGUUGGUAACACCCGAAGCCGGUGGCCUAACCGUUGUGGGGGAGCCGUCGAAGGUGGGACUGGUGAUUAGGACUAAGUCG